CCUACGGGAGGCAGCAGUGGGGAAUAUUGGACAAUGGGCGAAAGCCUGAUCCAGCCAUGCCGCGUGUGUGAAGAAGGUCUUCGGAUUGUAAAGCACUUUAAGUUGGGAGGAAGGGCAGUAAGCUAAUACCUUGCUGUUUUGACGUUACCGACAGAAUAAGCACCGGCUAACUUCGUGCCAGCAGCCGCGGUAAU
rnacentral:rRNA from 2 species